AUGGCUGACGGCGAGGCGCUGUUCCGAAUCACGACAUCCUUCGUCCCCAUUGACGGCUACGGUCGAUCUUUGGCCGUUUGUCUUCGAUGAGAUCAACGGAGAAGGAAGACAAUCCGACGCUGAGGAUCGAUCGCGAUCUUUGGGCGGCAGUUCGAUCCGGAAUCUUCCAGCGACGGAAUUUCCAUCUACGCGAGGCAUGCUUGCGAUUUGGGCAUUCAAAAGAAGUACGCCGCUCGCGGAUCUCGUACUGAAACUCUCAUGGCCGCCGCAGGAUCUAUCGGUCGACCUUGCACGAUCUACGGGCCGGCCCGACGUUAAUAAUGUUUUACACACCCUAUUCGCCUGAUUAUUAUUAUCGACCACACCUCGCGCCAUUUUCGCGUAGUCUUCGUAUAACGCGGAAGAGGAAAGAGAAAGAAAGAUGAAUAGAGAGAGAGAGAGAGAGAGACAAAGAGAGACAGAGAGAGAGAGAGAGAGAGAGGAGGGGAGGGGAGAGGGAAAUAGAAAGAGACAGAGUAAGAAAAUGAGUUUGCCAAGAGAAAACAAUCUGGCUUUCUUGCUUCACGUCCUCUCCCCAGAUCGAUCUCUUCAGGAAUGCCACUGGCUAUCCGGUAGCCGACGACGAUCGGUCUCGGUCGACCCGCGACAAGACUCGUAAUUUAUGGCGGUAACAAAGACGAAUUCACACACGCGGGACACGUCGCUUUUAGACCUUUAUAAAUGCGUCUAGAAGAAAGCGCGGAUGCAGUGAUGUUCUAUCAAGGUUGCUCGACACAUAGUCGAUACGUAUGACGACCUAUCUAACUACGUGCAAAUUACGUGAACUCCAGGUUGCUUAUUUCACUCGAUAGUUUCCAACUUGACGGUACAUAACGGCAUUGAAUUUGAUAUUUAAUAAUGAAUAUCGCACGUAAACUCUUGUGAACAAAGUUUUAAAAUUCCAAAACCAAUCGUGCACCAUCAUCGGACUUGAAAUUAUUUAAUAAAAUAUGAAAGAUCAUAUUUUGUAGUGUCAUAUUUGGUACUUAAAAUGUUGAUACAUUUUAGUACAUGCGUGUAGAUAUUGUGAUGAAUAACGAAGUCGUUUUAAAGUAAUUCAAUCUUUAAAAUAAUCGAUAGAUUUUCGCAAAUCGGUAUUGAUGGAAUACUUAAUGAGAUACUAAUCUACUUACGGUUUCUCUCAGAAAAUUGAUUUUAUAAAUCAAGCAAUUUUUAAAGAAACCAAUUCUGUAAAAUUUAAAAGUCUUUCUUGGAAGCAAAUGUCACAAGAACUAUAUUAUUCUUGGGUACUAUUUAACUUCUUAUCAUGAAAAUGUAGAUCGACUCGUUUAUCGAAUGCAAAGCGUAUUACAGUCUUCAAUCUUUUUGAAAAGCUAACUAACGUACGUUAAAAGACGAGAAAGAGCCAAUAAUUUUUCAGCCAUCUUAAAUUAAAACACAUCUACCUCGUUAAUUACCACUUAGAUAUAGUGUAUAAUAUGAUGUCUUAUUUUAAACUUAUAAGCGUAAUUAUGCAUUUUAUAAUAAGUUAUAUUAUCUAUUAAUUAAAUCAUAUAUUAAAAUAAUAUAUGAUUUAAUUAAUACAAUUAAUAUUACGUCACAAUGUAUUUGAAUUACAUAGAGGUAUACAACUUGUAAAACAUGAUUAGACAAAAUGUAAACAUCUAAAUCAAUUAAAUAAUAAUGUUUUAAUAGCGC
rnacentral:lncRNA from 1 species